GGGCCCGCACAAGCAGCGGAGCAUGUGGUUUAAUUCGAAGCAACGCGAAGAACCUUACCUAGACUUGACAUCUCCUGAAUUACCUGUAAUUAGGGAAGCCCUUCGGGGCAGGAAGACAGGUGGUGCAUGGUUGUCGUCAGCUCGUGUCGUGAGAUGUUGGGUUAAGUCCCGCAACGAGCGCAACCCUUAUGAUUAGUUGCUACCAUUAAGUUGAGCACUCUAAUCAGACUGCCGCGGUUAACGCGGAGGAAGGUGGGGAUGACGUCAAAUCAUCAUGCCCCUUAUGUCUAGGGCAACACACGUGCUACAAUGGUGAGUACAACGAGAUGCAAGACCGCGAGGUGGAGCCAAACUCAAAAACUCAUCCCAGUUCGGAUUGUAGGCUGAAACUCGCCUACAUGAAGCUGGAGUUGCUAGUAAUCGCGAAUCAGCAUGUCGCGGUGAAUACGUUCCCGGGCCUUGUACACACCGCCCGUCACACCAUGAGAG
rnacentral:rRNA from 1 species